ensembl:lncRNA AABR07020987.1
CGAAGAGGCCCUAACACACAUCUCACCAGCCUCUGCACAUUGUCUGAUAUUUGCUGCGAAAUAAGAACAAAACCAAGUGGCUGCUCUCAAGUUCUACAGCACCCCAGGGUCCUGCCUCCUCCAACCUUCUAUCUUGUCCCCAUGCCACAGGCUGAAAAGGUUUGCUGCCCUCACCCUGCUCUCCUUGCCUUCCCGGGACCAUCCACAGAGUCGGGAAGCUUCCGGUAUGGCAGAUGUCUUGGCACAGUCACUACCCGAGGGGAAGGAUCAUACGCACGCCCAGAUCUCAUCCGAGCAAAAAGGAGCUGCUUCUGCCCUCCUGCAGUGUGCAGAGUUCUUGGAGGGGAGUGACACGGGCCCGGGCUGCCCUGCCAUGAGGUCAGCCUACACUGACAACCUGCACAAAGUUGAUGGCAAGAAGCACUUCCGGUCCCUGGCCUCAGGAGUGGCUGGGCCACAGGAAGAGGUGCUCACACCUGGCGAUUACUCCGGAUCCAUAACGCCGAGUGGGAAAUGGGGCCACAAAAGCAAAGCGGAGGGCGGCGAGGGUGAGGCACACAGGAGAACUGUGCUAUCCUCUCCCUGGAAGGAGCAAGCUCAUCCUCUCCAUCUGUCCUAAGAAGACCAGAAAACAGGAAGGGUAGAAUUCCACCACUACUUCCUCUCCUGCAUUCCCUGACCUUUGGCAUCCCCAAGGCCAUACUUGUUCACCACCUCCCCAGCAUUUGAGAUGGCCCCGAGAGACCACACAGCUGACCUCAGCAGGCCUCGGGCUGAGACUGAAUCAGCAGAUGCUAGCCUCCUGUCUUCUUGGCAACCCCAUGUGCCUGUGUGAGUUUUCCUGGUUUCCUUACUCCUUCCUAAAUGGAACCUUCUCCAGUUCUGCUAAAUCAGCACCCACUCUUCUGCUACAUACCUCUACUGAACCCCAGUGUCAACUCCCAUCUAUAAAUCCACAACUGCCAGGCGAGAGGGUCCCCAGAUCUGUGUGAGGAACAGCACUCUGACUUAUGCUUAACGUUGUGUCUAUCAGCCCUGGUAUCAAUGAUGUCACCUAAGAAAGCUAUUUCCUUCCUUCUUCCUUCUCUAAACCAUUCCCGUCUUCAAAAAUCAACUCACUGAAGAGUGGUAAGUCGAGUGACUGAUAGAAAAUUGUCAGGAAGUAAAACAGCAUUUAGUUCCUACUGACCAUCCAUGAGUCGCCCCAAGAAAGUAGGAAGAAGGAAGCUUACAGUUUCCUGGAGAGCCCUCCCUGCCUGUGGUCACAGAACAAAAGUUGGGAUGUUCAAAGGCUUGUGCCUGGCCUCUCAAACUGCUGGUCCUCUCUAGAGAGAGGGCCGAUCGCAUUUAGGCUCUGUAGGUUGUUAUGCCGGUGAAGGCAGGUACAGGAUAGAACGAGGCCUGUCAUUGGAUGAGAAGGAAGGAUGGGCGGGAGAGAAGUUUUAGAGAGGAGGAGACCAGAGCAAGAGGGAGGGAGAGGCUGAGAAAGCAUGGCAGCCAUGGCAGUGGACGUUGAGAUUUCUCUCUGCACAUUUACAGGUUGUUAUGACUUCAUACGGCAUAGACUGUACAGGAUUUUGUGCUGUUUAGAUGGGCAAUUAUAUCCUAUCAAUGGAUCAGAGGUUAUUGUGUGGUGUGUUCUUUCAUGUGGCAACUUAAUUGAGUUCAAGAGAGUGUGUGGCGGCGGGACACUGAGCCUGCCAUGGAAUUGGGAUGCGUAUGCCUGGCAUGGUGAAGCCUGCCUUGGGAACUAGAUGGGUAGAGAGAUUGCUGCCGGGCUCAGAGAGUAGCCAUCAGCAGUGUGAUAUGGGAUGGAGCUUAGCCGGUGAGACACUUUGUUGACUGAGAUGAAAAUAUCCCACGGAUGCAGCGUGGCCCUACGGUGCCAGCACUAGGGUGGGAAAAAAGAAACCUUUUUUAAAAUUAUACCACAACAGGGCAAGAAAC